ACAGAGGUCCCGAGCGUUGUUCGGAUUCACUGGGCGUAAAGGGUGCGUAGGUGGCUUUGCAAGUCUGAUGUGAAAUCUCCGGGCUUAACCCGGAAAUGGCAUUAGAAACUGUGAGGCUUGAGGCUUGGAGGGGGAACUGGAAUUCUCGGUGUAGCAGUGAAAUGCGUAGAGAUCGAGAGGAACACCAGUGGCGAAGGCGAGUUCCUGGACAAGUCCUGACACUGAGGCACGAAAGCCGGGGGAGCAAACAGGA
rnacentral:rRNA from 1 species